AAAAAGAGGAAGAAAGAAACACCCCGAACAAGUGCGGUCAUCCCACCACAAGCGUGAAUAAGGAAAAAAGAAAGAAAGAUGGGUCUUUUCUGCAAAAAAAAAGAGUCAUCGUUACGGCUGUCGGUUGGCGAGGCUUUGUUUUGAGUUUCCUCGAGCGGAGAUGAUGAGUAACAGACGCCAGGGAACAUCUGGACAGAGGGAAUGGACCUGUAAACAUCACACAGCUGUGUCAGCAACAUCAGACAUCCGACAGGUGUGUUGUCCGGCACGCUGCAGGUUCGAAGGACGCUUGACCCACUGCUGGAGCAAGAUCAAUAUUUGUUUCAUCCAGGGUCAUUUAUCUUUCCCUAAAUCCAUGCAUGCUUAUUGAAGCAGUAAUGCGCUCCACCCCCCCACCAAAAGGUGGAAACAACAACAUGGGGCCUAAAUUCAUGGGAAUGGACCCCACAAGCACGACACUGAGGUA
ensembl:lncRNA